rnacentral:lncRNA from 1 species
GAAUAAAUAUGGAGGACGAGAGAAGUGAAAACUUUGACAUUGGACAAGAGAGGGGGACUGCAACAACUUUUCUGCAAAGCUUCUUGCAGUGCUGAAUUUCUGCAGCAAUGGCAACAACUUUUAAAACUGUAGAUAAUAGUGAGAGUUGACUCGUACAAAUCGUCCUGGUGUGCAUACCUAGUCCCUCAUCCGGUCCAUAUACAAUAAGAGACCAUAACAUCUUGUUGCAGCUCCAUAACAGUUGACAACAUCUUUACAACUAUGGACUGAUGUAAGAGUUGACCUGUACCGAUCAGUAUGGUGCGAAUACGUAGUCUCUCAUUCUAAUCCCUAUAAAAUAAGAUCUAUCUGCGAAACUGUUCCUCUUGAAUGCGCAUUAUAAUAACUUGUUUC